rnacentral:rRNA from 1 species
AGAACGCUAGCGGGAGCUUAACACAUGCAAGUCGAGGGGUAAGGAGAUAGCAAUAUUUCCCUAGACCGGCGCACGGGUGAGUAACGCGUAUGCAACCUGCCCUUUACAGGGGGAUAGCCCGGAGAAAUCCGGAUUAAUACCCCAUAGACCUGCAGAUCCGCAUGGAUUCACAGGUAAAGCUUCGGCGGUAAAGGAUGGGCAUGCGUGACAUUAGCUGGUUGGCGGGGUAACGGCCCACCAAGGCUACGAUGUCUAGGGGUUCUGAGAGGAAGGUCCCCCACACUGGUACUGAGACACGGACCAGACUCCUACGGGAGGCAGCAGUGAGGAAUAUUGGUCAAUGGGCGAGAGCCUGAACCAGCCAUCCCGCGUGCAGGAAGAAGGCCCUAUGGGUUGUAAACUGCUUUUGUGCAUGAAGAAUGGUACCCUCGUGAGGGUAUUUGACGGUAAUGC